GCGGGAGUAGCUCAGUGGUAGAGCUCCUGCCUUCCAAGCAGGCUGUCGCGAGUUCAAGUCUCGUCUCCCGCU
rnacentral:tRNA from 1 species